rnacentral:rRNA from 1 species
GUAUGGUGCAAGCGUUAUCCGGAUUUACUGGGUGUAAAGGGUGCGUAGGUGGUAUGGCAAGUCAGAAGUGAAAGGCUGGGGCUCAACCCCGGGACUGCUUUUGAUACUGGAGGUCUUGAGUGCACACAGGGAUGCUGGAAUUCAUGGUGUAGCGGUGAAAUGCUCAGAUAUCAUGAAGAACUCCGAUCGCGAAGGCAGGCAUCCGGGGUGCAACUGACGCUGAGGCUCGAAAGUGCGGGUAUCAAACAGGAUUAGAUACCCUGGUAGUCCGCACAGUAAACGAUGAAUACUCGCGGUUUGCGAUACAAUGUAAGCCGCCAAGCGAAAGCGUUAAGUAUUCCACCUGGGGAGU